GCCUUCGUGGUGUAACGAUAGCACAUUCGACGCGUAUUCCAGAGGUCCAGGUUCGAGUCCCGGCGAGGGCA
rfam:Stegodyphus mimosarum contig45761, whole genome shotgun sequence.